AGUGACUUCAUUGUGCCUACAGGUUCAGGCAGAGCAGGGGACACUUUGUCUGUGGGCCUGACCCAGCACCAGGAGUCCUGGGCUCAGGGCUCCUCCUGCCUCCAGCCACUCGCAUGGAAGAAGCUGCAGGAUGAGGUUUUAAAGCAUCUGAUUUGUUCCCUAGAAGAAAUGUACACCAAAGCGUCCAGGGAUUCAUCUUUCCUCCUGUGAUAAGCUGAAGCACCAAUUGAAGUAGAUGGAACUGCUGCACUCCCAAAGUGAGCAGGGGAUGCAGAAUGUGAUGUAACCAUGCACAGCCAUCCUGUCAGCCACUGCAGAGCCUGGAGCCCUGUGCCAGGGGUGUGAUGGGCUGUGCCUGCCGAAAUACUGCGAGGUAUGGCAAAAGCACAGGGUUGGGGGUUUCAUCUGAGCCUCUAAGAGUUUCUUGACAGACUGGUGAUUGUCAGUACUUAGCUCUAUGGCCAGUAAUAAUUACAUAUUGUAGGUGCCCUCAAAGCACAGAUUUAUCUUCCUCCCCUUCUUCCCAACGUCUGCUGCAGACUGUGUGGCACCAGGGAUUAGACAGAACUGCUGCUGGUCUCUCUCCUUCCUCACCCCAGCAACUAGGGCCCCCUUGAUGAGCAACACCCACAUACAGCCUGCAGAACCACCAACAGCCUUUUUGUCCCAGUCACUUGUAAACCCCAAAAAGAACACUGCCAGUGCCUUAAAUGGAUUCCCACAGGUAUGAAGAACAUGACCUUUCACAGAUAAAGGAACAAAAGCAUUUACAUUUCACAGGCUCCAUCAAUAACUAUAAAGCUUUUAUCUGUGCUGCUCAUUUAGCUUCAUAUCCAUCAGGAACAUGCACCCUAACACUGCAGCUGUAACAUACAUCAGUGGCCCUCAGGAGAUGUUAAGAGAUGGCAAAAGAGUCUAAGCAAAAAUCAGCGGUAUAUUUAUUGCCUUAAAGUUCUUUAAAAACUCAUUUGUAGGCAGAAAUUAUUUUUGCUUCUUUCAGACACACACAUUAGUUUACAUCUCUGUAGAAUUGUCAUUCUACUACAAGAGCAAGCAGGGAGUGUUUGUUUUUAGCCUUCUACCAGAAGCAGUGUAAAUUCAGAGCUUGACUCUGCUAGCCAAGAACAAUGUUUAGCAACUCAAAUCUUCAGUGGUAAUUACCAUGCAAUGGUAAUCCCCAAUUUGUGUAAGUUAAGGUCUGCUAUUCUCUCUUGUAUCUCCAGAGGGCAUUUCCAAGACACUCCCACUGUUAACACAAACUUUACAGCAUAAUGAAUUUUCAGAGUCACAUACAAAUAGUGCAGCUGGAUCAAACACACAUACUGAAAAAAAUGCAAGAAUGUUUUAAAAUAUAUUCAUUUAAGUGUAAAGUAAACUUAUUCCUUAUUAUUAACCUCAUUUAAAUCCUUUGCUGAACUUAUGUCUGUGCCUGGUUUAAACAAUUUGAGUAGACUCUGGUUUUCUUUUUCUUUGGGUGCCCCAUGCAGAAUCCCUGUUGUACUUGCAGUAAAAGUGAUUUACCAAUGAUGAGAAAACAAAAAGGUGUCACAAUAACAGAGCCAGCAGCCUAUGCAAUUAUCAACUUACAAGGCAUUUACUUUAGCCUUUUUAAGCUAGAAGAACUUUAGAGUUUAUAAAUAAUGAUUUUGUGCUCCUGUAAGGGGAAAGGGAAGAAAUUUUAGCAACACUUAACAAGGGCCAAGAUGACAAGUACACCAUGUAUGGACUUCAAAAUGUAAGGUGUGACAAGCAGUUUAAAAAAAAAAAAGUUAAAAACAGUCAAGUCAUGGAUGCUGAAGGUCUCUAGUGCAGUGCAAAUUGUUCUCAUUCUGUUCAUAACCACAUUAUGAGAAAGGAAUCUCUGGGAGAACUGUCACCUCAGAAUUGUACUUGCACUCGGUGCAUUUUACAGACAAAAUACAUCAACAGUUAUGUAAAUAACCCCUCUAUCGUGAUCAGUGAUUUGUAAGAAAUCAUCACGUAUUUUAAGCUAAGUCACACAGCACCUUCUGGAACUAGACAGGAAGGCAGGAGAUGCUGGCAUCACAUGUACUAAUUUCUUUUUGUGUCCUCACCACUGGAUUUCCUAUGGUAUUACCAGACUUGGUUAUAAGCCAAAGCUAACAACCCUAAUUUUGAUUGUCAUGAAAAUCUGGACUGAAGCAAGCCCAGCAUGUCCUGCCACCCUGUUUGCAAAAACCAACAUUUUUUGCUUUAGUCUUCCAAUUCAUGUGACUGUAACUGUGCACAGACAGAACAGCAAACACAGCCACAGCUCCUCACUGGGGAGGUUGCACAGAGACCAAGAGGCAACUCCCAACUCCAAUUUGCCUUCAUAAUGUCCCAAUUCAAGCAGGUAAACUCGAGUGUUGAUACUUACAGCUGUUUUCUAUUUACAAAUAGCUCUUUGCUGCAAGUAUACUAAAAUAAAGAGAAAUCCUCUCUAAAUAAAGAGAACACAGGUAUGCAGUAUUUAUUUGUGAGUGAGCUACCCAUGAAAACCAGACUGCAAGGCAGAGUAUUCUGUUGGCCAUGUUCUGCAAAACUGACAGAAUUUGGCAGAACUUGGUAGAAAGCGAUAAGCAGACAGCGACCUUGCACAAGUUGUAAUGUUCCAUGCUUCUGAGACUUUGAACUACUUGCAAACACACACACACAAUCCAUGAAGUACCAACACCAUCAAGGAUCAUCUGAAGCUGAAAUGGUAUCAGGUGCUUACAGAUAAAUGCAGUUGUAGAACUAUUCCCCAAUACAUUCCACAAAAAAGGUUUAAUUGUCCCUCCAGCUGCUUCUGGCCAUAACUUAUGAUGACUUUUUUGGGAUCCAGUAUGGCAAAAUGAGUACCAGACUCAGCUGCCAUUGUGUCUCUAAUUUAAGAGGUAAUGGAGCAGUUAAAUUAUUCUUUUCAGAACAUCCAAACUAAAUUUCAUCAAAAAGCAUGUAACGUAGAUUGUCUGAUGAGGAGGUCUCAUUUUCAAGUUUAGAAUCUUUAAGGGUAUCAAAUUCCUGUGCUUCAGAAGCAAUUUUUUAAUGCAUACUUCCAACACUAAGUCUAUUGAGGACUGGCAUUCCUGGUGGAUUCCCAGAGUUGCUUCCAUACUUUAAAGGAAUGGACAUUUGGUCCUCUUACAAGCACAAAAUUAACAUUAAAACAACUGUAUCAGUCAUUUCAUUGCUGUCACAUACAAAUGCUCAGCGUUAACUAUAGGUGCAAAUGCAACACUUUAUUGAAUCACAGCAACACAAUAAUUCAGUAUGCAUUUAAAAAAAAAAAUCUAGUGUAAGCAGAGAUUUUAGAUAGAUUUUUUUCCAGAUAUAACCCUUUGAUAAAAAAGUUACUCUUGUUACUGCUGUACAAGAAGUCACCCUGACUAUCCAGAGCACUGUGAUGCUCCAGCUGCACAAAGAAUACUGCCAGUUUUAUCUUUUCUGCUUUGAGUUUGUCUUUCUUCAACACUAUGGCCUUAAUUUCUAGAAGAUCACUUAAUUGCGUAAUUCCCAACCAAUUUUCUCACUGGCAAUCCAUCAAGGCAUUUCAUACACCAGUCUGUGGGUUUUCCUUUCACACUGAGAUUUAAAGACUGUAAUGGACACCUGGCUCCACCACAGUCCAUAAUACUUCCUGGCCUGUAACUACACUAACAUGGAACCUGGUACAUGCCCAGUGCAAGAAAGAGUGAAUUUGGUGAGCCGGGGGGAGGUAAGUUACUAAUUAAUUAGUUUGCUUUAGCUUUUCCUCUGCAGAGGUCUGCACAGCUCCUUGGUUAGACAAUCAUUUGCCUUUAACAUCAGCCCUUUCCCAGGAAUAACUGAUGUGUCCUCUGGCCAAGCCUCUCCAAAGGACCAGGAGUCUUUACAGAAUGAAGGUAUUUUGUAGGAAGGAUCACUCCCAGCCCCCUUUUGAUCUGUUAUGCAAUAAAAUAAACUCUUGUCUUCUGUAGACAGUUACAAAUAAGUGCAAAUAAGAUGGGCAUCAAUAAACGGCAACAUGCAAAUAGCAACAGUUAAUUCUGAAACAACUUCAAAACCUUGAUGGAAAUGAACCCACAAGCAGCACUCUGGAGCCUGCAGUGACCCAGUGCAGUGACCCAGUGAGGAGGGGCUGUGCAGUGACCCAGUGCAGUGAGGAGGGGCUGUGCAGUGACACACAGAGCACAGUGAGGAGGGGCUGUGCAGUGACACAGUGAGGAGGGGCUGUGCAGGGACACACAGAGCACUGACCCAGUGAGGAGGGGCUGUGCAGGGACACAGAGCAGUGAGGAGGGGCUGUACGUACCACAGUGCUGCCGUUGUGCAUGUUGUGCGUGUCCUUGUGGGCGUGGGCGCAGAAGUCGAUGCACGCCGUGACGCCGGAGAAGGGUCGGCCAUCCUUGCAGCCCAGCCGGCAGUCAGGGCCCAUGUGCUCGUUUUCCACCUGGAAGGAGAACAAACUACAGACACUGGGCACUGAGAGCGUGGGUGUGCAACCCCACCAGCCACCAACAGCUUUGUGACAGAUUCCAGGCAGCCAGGCAGACUCAGUAAUUGGUGCUUUCCUAUGAAACAUGGAACAUCUGUGGCUGGGUGCCAACGAGAUAAUCAGGUCAGCCACAAUCAAAAUGUCUUGGACAGUAAAAACCUUUUAUUUACAGUAUUAUCUCUAAUAAUUUCUCACAUAUAAAAAUAUGGUGCUGCUUAAGCACCACAAGUAGCUUAAGCCCCUCAAGUAAAGAGCAGCAGUGUAUGAAAACUUGCCAAAUGCACCGGGAUUCACCAGGGCUCCACCCAGAACAUGCUCUGGGGCUGCUGCUGGGAUUGCAACUGUUUAUCAGAGCUGGAUCUCACACACCCACCUGGUUCUGGAAAGCUUCUGGAGCAAGCUUCUUAUAAACCGGAGCCACAUCAGUAGCUAACGUUUGCAAAUUAUUUUCAAGAAGUUCCUCCUGCAGGGAAAGGCAACAUUCAGUGCUGCAGUUUGCUUUAAAAGAAUCUCUGCCAGUUUAGAGAUGCUCAAUAGGUCAGCUUCUACCUCAUAAUUUAGGAAACUGACUUCUGUUCUGCUGCCCUUUGCCACUAACCAUAAAUGCCUGCUUUUGCAUGACUAAACCACCAAAGCUGUUGAACAGAAAUCAGCCAAGUAACAAUAGAGGAUACCUGCUAGGUCAAAGCAACCCAGCACACAGGAACUGAUUUCUGCAUAAUUUUCCAUAUGCAAUCAAGGAGUGAGGUAUGAUGCACACAAAAACACAGAAGUAACAUCCAGAGGAGAAAAAUCAUAUCCCAAGCUGAGUGGGGAUGGAAGCCCAGGUCUUCUGUUAGUGUUUUGCUUAUGGGGCCUUAGCCUGUGCUGACACACCAUGUGAGAAACUCCUCAUAGCAUUUAUCUUCAGCUCUUAGGUCUUCUCUCAUACUGCAGCAGAACUUUUAACAGGAACAUUUCUUAACUAUUUUGUUCUUUAGAGGGGCAAAAAUCAAGACUUAAUGGAAAUAACUACUGGAUUCAGAAAUAAUAUUGCCUUCCUUAGGCUAAUCCCUAUAAACACAGAAUUAGCCAGGGGGGCUUCUACAGCAGUGUCAUAUUUAAGCUCUUAUUUGUAGAAACAAUCCCUAAAUCCUUAUCCUAAGUUUUUACUUUUCCAGGAAAACCACCAACCAACUGAGAAAGCAGAGGGCAGUGAUAGACUCCCAGAUUUCUUUUCCUCCAAGGACCAAGCUUUGAGAGACAACUGCAGCUUCAGUUUCUCACAGUGCAUAGUGGCAAAAUGAAGCAAGCUGUUACGUUUUGUUUAAAAAAACCCACUUAUCAUCACACACUGUAAACACCAUCAUAAACACCAGGAGACUUUUCUUUUUUCAAUGGGAUGUUACAUUACAAGAUAAUGCUGUAUUUUUAACUUGUACUAAACCCAAUUUUAUCAGCUGCAAAUGUCUACCACAAGGUUUUCUGAACCACACUGAAGUUAAUGUAUCCCUAAUUAUCCAUCCUGCCGGGAGGAUAUCUACCCUAGGAACCAUUCUUUCCUCAAUAUAUUGUGGAAAUAUCCCUUAACCUCCUCUCAUUCAGCAUCAGAAACCUACAGAGAAAAUGCUCCAUGCACAGCAUUAUACAGGGGAGAACCUAAACACACAAGGAGUGGCGAAGGACACAGAAGGAAUGGGAUUCCUAAAAUGAAAGGACACCUAAUAAAUACAUUUUCCUAUAAACUGGAAGUUUAUAAAACAAAUUCCCUCUUGAGACAAGCAGAGCUGGGUUUGGCUGGAGAGCCUCAGAAAGGUGCUCAGUGAGGAGGGAAGAAGGGCAGUGUGCUGUGCUGAGGCAGAAGCCCCACCCUGGCCCUAAUGAGGUUUGUGAGCACCCACAGUGCCAGGGGAGACUGGGGGCUUGCACUCCUGUGCAUGAGAAACACUUCAGAAACUCUUUUAGAACAACAAGUCAGGAGCUGGGAGCAAUAUUUACCUGCAGUGAAUCAAGUGACAUCUAUCAAGGAAGAAGGGAUGUCUCACACUAUGUGUACAUAGAAAGAUUACUGCAGUGCAACCCCAGCAGAGAACCUGGCACUGGGUGCCCAACAGUGCCCAAAACAUGUCAGCCAUGCUAGGAAAGAUGUGGUACUUUCACCAGGAGAUCUAUAGGGAAGUGGGGUGGCACACACCUACAGUCAGAACAAAAGGCACUUUGGAGCCACCCUGAGAAGUCUCUGUUCACCAGGCAGUAGUUAUUUAUUUAUUUCUUCUUCAGGAAAAUAUUUUCAAUGGAAAGUAACUAAUGUGGCUGGAUUUUUUUUUUAGAGGUUUGUUACUUCACAUAAUCCACCACUGUUUUCUGUGCUGCCUCACCCCUAUGGCAUCACUAACACCCAUAAGCAGCAAUUAUGGUAUCAUUUCACUGCACUUCAUUUUAGUAUAUUAAUUCCUUCAAAAUUAUUUUUAAAAAUCACGCUGUCCACAGAAGAAAACCAGUUUAUUCUUGGUGAGAGAGGGGAGCCCAGGCUGUCAGCUGGUUCUACAGCAGUGGGAAAGCAGCAACCACAAGGUACAACAUUUUCUGUGCCAAGGCAAAAGGCCUGAAACCCUGAGCUGCAAGCUUGGCCCUUAGAAAAAGGCCUUCACUCACAAAGAAUUAAAAUUUCACACAGAGUUACACAGUGAGCUAAACAGGCAUGCAGAAAAGCAUUAAGAAUAAUUUUAUGGUAUAUAAACACAUAGUAAUUAUUCCACUGAAUGAAAUCACAGUGUUAUUUAUUCUAAAUACUACAGUUACAAAAACUUUGUUAGGUGUAAGUCUGUGGUAAGUUACACAUACACGUGGGAGAGAGAAGGGGUGGAGAACAUCUAGUUCUGAAAAUCAUCAGAAAAGGUAUUUUGAGAAAAAAAAUAUAUCUUACUUGUUU